rnacentral:rRNA from 1 species
GAGGAGGCGAAGCGGACCUUGUAAACGGAGAAGGAGGGAAGGAGGCAUGGGGGGAGGGGGAGAGAGAGGGUUGCGGGCAGGUAGAGAGGCCGCUUUGGCUACCGGCGCUCGAGUCCGCUGCUCAGGGCCUCCGGGUUAGGGGAGGGGAGCCCCGAGCACAGGUUAGACGUCAGGCAGGAGCGGCGGGCGGCGGGCGGAAGCGGGCUCCUGCGGCCGAGGUGGCGCCGGCUCCGGAGCCGGGGCUGUCGCCUCUGCCGCCGGCUACUGCGUGGCCGAUUCGGACAGCAUGAAGACUGGACGCGGCCGCCCUAGCUCAGCGGCCCAGAGCGCCGCGAGCAGCUGCGGGAGCAGUUCCCGCCGGCUACGCUGCAGGUGCACACGCGGGGACUUAGCCUGUUCGGACAGACACCAGUGAGGUAAUGGUAGGCCCUCUGACACAGACGCUGUAGGCAGGUAAAAUGUCCCCGCUUCCGAAAACUCUAUAGUCCCUGCGGCCACCUAAGAUAGAGUAACCGUAAUAGACCCUCCGAUAAAAGAACCAGCCGUGGACGAAACCACUAGUCACCGUAGUUAUGACCCGGUUUGACGCCGAUACUCUACAAGGUGAGAAGACGGUAACGGCGACGUUCUCUCCGGAAUUACACACCCCAUGGAAGUUAACGUUAGAGUAACUUAACCUUCUUCCUACUUUGGUUUCUGUUACUGAAGUUCCUACGUCGACCCGACACAAACGGUGACUAUGUACGACGGAAUCGUCUAUAACUCUUCCCUUGAAAGGAGUUUCCCACGGACGACUUACAACCCCAAGGUUCGAGCGGUCGACGUUUAUUCCCAAAGUUCAACUGGUUCGUUUCGUAUAUGUCAGGACGAGUUUCGACCGUUCGACACAGCUGUUCAUCCGGAGUUGGACGACGAGUGAAGUACCCGUACGUAGUUUCGGAACCAUAAGUCGAGCGUGUCGAACCCUUCCUACGAAGACGUCGUCCUCGACGUGCGUCUCCAUUAUGAGUCGCCUUCUGUCAACUCCAGCUCAGACAACGUCGACGUCCCUUCGUUGUUCGAGCUCUUCAUCACUUCUUUAGAAAGGCACGGCUCAAGUAGCUCUUCGACGUGUUUCUAAACCUACUGCUAUAGCUACACUCUCGGAACCUUUUACCUAAAUAUAGACAGUGAGGAGACUUACACGUGCCGGUACAGCUCGGACUUGAGCUUCGAGGUCGCAGUCUGACCGACAGUCGUCGACACCGACAUAGGCUUCUUUUCCUUCGAGGUCGCUGGAUUGUUUGUACGUCUUUACAUGUGACAUCCACGAAAUCAGGAACGGAACCACAGGUAGAGGAGAGGGGAACGAAAUAACCGAACUAAGAACAGACAGAAAACGUAAGGUACGAACAAGUCACGUCAGAAAUAAAAACAACCAGAAGAGGCUGCCAACGGCUAAAAGAAGCAGUACAUUUUACUAAACUACGACCUCGGGGAUGUCAAAGCUUCACUGGUACAUCCGCUGACGUAGAUGAUCUGCUUAUGACGGUGAGGGGUGAUAAAAAAGUCACACCAAACAAGGUCUUUCCACAACACAGUGGCCUACCCACACUAACUAAAAAACUAAACAUGGAAGACCUGGUACAGCAUGCUUUUAUAAAACUGGAGUACAUUGGACUUUACGUCAAAGUUGUUAAAUCAAACGAC